UACCAAAGCAUUAGUAAAGGUCAUUUAAGACCUUUAUUGAUUUUUAACAAAAUAAUUCACCCUCCUGCUAAGAAGAAAAUGGUUGAAGAGGAAUGUGAGGAGCACAGCGCCCAGUUUAAGGUGUUGGCUUGGCCUCUUCAUCCAGUCAUCUGUCUCUGGGAUUUAUUUGUUGUUAAGGUUUUUCUUUCCCAGACAGCAGCUGAGGAAGGAUCCGCCAGAGCGCUGAAGGCUCUGGGAGGAAAACGCAGGCAGGAAGCUGAUUAUGCAACACCAGUGCCAGGGUUAGGUCAGAGAUCUGAGUACGUUCUGCUCCUGGUGCACCUUCUUCUUCUUUUCACCGCAGCUGGCUGAUGAACUUCUUGGCCAGGUCGCUGGUGUGACCGAAGAACUCCUCAUCGAACUCGUAGUUGACAGCGGAGAUGUUCCCCAGCGUGUCCUGCUUGGUCUCCCCCAGGAACGGAGACGCCCCGCUCAGCCUGGAACGAAACAAACAUCACUGCCUGGCUCACGGUUCUGGAGGCAGUUCUACUCAGGACGCUCCGGUUCACUUGCAGGAUUUACAGAAACGAGGCUUGAUUCUCUGCUGUGACACGAGUUCAGCUCCGGAGGUCACGGUGUGACCUCUUCAGGGGACCACACCUCCCGGGUCGGGUCCGGUCGGGCUGGGACCAACCUUCAGGUCAAAGUGGCCGAUCUUCCUGGUGUGGAGGUAGUUCACUCCUUCCAGGAUCUGCUGGAUGAACUGAGUAGCCUCCUCCUCUGUCAGAGACUCCUUCUGGGCCAGGAAGUCAAAGAGCUCACCGCCAGAGACCCUGGAACCAGAACCAGAACACGGCUUCAGCUGGACCUGAACCAGAACACGGCUUCAACUGGACCGGAACCAGAACCUGAACACGGCUUCAGCUGGACCUGAACCAGAACACGGCUUCAACUGGACCGGAACCAGAACCUGAACACGGCUUCAGCUGGACCGGAACCAGAACACGGCUUCAGCUGGACCGGAACCAGAACCUGAACAUGACUUCAGCUGGACCGGAACCGGAACACGGCUUCAGCUGGACCGGAACCAGAACCUGAACAUGACUUCAGCUGGACCGGAACCGGAACACGGCUUCAGCUGGACCGGAACCAGAACCUGAACACGGCUUCAGCUGGACCGGAACCAGAACCGGAACACGGCUUCAGCUGGACCGGAACCAGAACCUGAACAAGGUUUCAGCUGGACCGGAACCAGAACCGGAACACGGCUUCAACUGGACCGGAACCAGAACCAGAACACGGCUUCAGCUGGACCGGAACCGGAACCAGGACCUUUCUUCUAAUCAUAUAAAUUGUUCUGACAAGCAGCAGGUUUUCUGCAGCUAAAUUCUGCCCCCUAGUGGCGCUCUGUUGCAUUUCGGUGUAAUAAAAAUCCCAUUCCCGUUUGGACUCCAUAUCUCUCUCUGACUUCCUUUCAAUGUAAACGAGCUGGCACAAGAUCAUCAUGCAGGAUUCAAUGAAAACAGGAAGAUUAUGUUGAAUACUUCCUUCAUUGCAUGUCCACAGAAAGAAAUUAGGGCUGGAACGAUUAAUCGGAUUAAUCGAUUACUGAAAUACUAGUUUAGUAAUCUUUUAAUUGUUAAUUGGAGUAUAAAGACUCUAAAAAGACAAUUUACU